rnacentral:lncRNA from 10 species
GGGAUUGGAGCCACAGAAGGAGUGAAGGGUUAUUCUAAUAAUACAGCCUCGAAAUCCUGACAGCCAGUGAUGCAUGAGUCUUCUAAUACUCCUUUUGGCCUUUAAAUCCAUGCUUUAGUUGUUGCCUUCCUUGAAGACAUGGCUGGGGGUGUCAUCUUAGUAUUUACAACCAUCAGUUAGGAUUACAUUGACAGCAUCUAGUGGGAGGGAGAGUCCACUAGACCCCAUGGCUGGAAAUCUGAAGAAAGAAAGCUGGCAUGCGUUAUAAAAUCACAAGAAUAGCCAGCACCAUCUCCACAGGCUGUGGAACCCCGCGCGAUACCAAGGGGAUUGGAGCAAGCAAGUUACACUCUCUGCUUCUCUUUCUAAGAAGCAUCACUCUGGCUGCUGAGUGGAAAGGAGAUUUUAAGACUGCUGUUGGGGAAGGAGGAAGACCAGUUGGGAGGCUGCUGCAUCUUCAGCUCCCGAUUACUCAUGGCUUCAGACUUCCAUCAAUUUAAUAAAAACAAAACAAUGGAGUGAAGACUGAAAAAUUACCUAUUGAGUACCAUGUUCACUGUUUGGAUGAUGGGUACACUGAAAACCCAGACUUCAUCAGCAUGCAGUAUAUGCAUCUAAAAGCUCUGCACUAAAUAUUUGUGAAAAAGAAGACAAAACAGGCAAUAAAAUAAUUCUGACAUAUUAAAACAGCCAGCCUAUAACUCAGUUCAAAAUAUUCGAGCAAAGCUGAGGUCUUUGGGUAGUUGGUAGGGUGAGUAAUAACUGAAUGGGGUGACAAUGAGGAGAGUCAGGAGGGCUAAACAUGGCUUCCACCUCUUGCCAAAGCCUGGUGUGGCUGCAGC